rnacentral:rRNA from 1 species
UCAACCUGGGAACUGCAUCUGAUACUGGCAAGCUUGAGUCUCGUAGAGGGGGGUAGAAUUCCAGGUGUAGCGGUGAAAUGCGUAGAGAUCUGGAGGAAUACCGGUGGCGAAGGCGGCCCCCUGGACGAAGACUGACGCUCAGGUGCGAAAGCGUGGGGAGCAAACAGGAUUAGAUACCCUGGUAGUCCACGCCGUAAACGAUGUCGACUUGGAGGUUGUGCCCUUGAGGCGUGGCUUCCGGAGCUAACGCGUUAAGCCGACCGCCUGGGGAGUACGGCCGCAAGGUUAAAACUCAAAUGAAUUGACGGGGGCCCGCACAAGCGGUGGAGCAUGUGGUUUAAUUCGAUGCAACGCGAAGAACCUUACCUGGUCUUGACAUCCACAGAACCUUGUAGAGAUACGAGGGUGCCUUCGGGAACUGUGAGACAGGUGCUGCAUGGCUGUCGUCAGCUCGUGUUGUGAAGUGUUGGGUUAAGUCCCGCACGAUGCGCAACCCUUAUCCUUUGUUGCCAUCGGUCCGGCCGGGAACUCGAAGGAGACUGCCAGUGAUAAACUGGAGGAAGGUGGGGAUGACGUCAAGUCAUCAUGGCCUUACGACCAGGGCUACACACGUGCUACAAUGGCGCAUACAAAGAGAAGCGACCUCGCGAGAGCAAGCGGACCUCAUAAAGUGCGUCGUAGUCCGGAUUGGAGUCUGCAACUCGACUCCAUGAAGUCGGAAUCGCUAGUAAUCGUGGAUCAGAAUGCCACGGUGAAUACGUUCCCGGGCCUUGUACACACCGCCCGUCACACCAUGGGAGUGGGUUGCAAAAGAAGUAGGUAGCUUAACCUUCGGGAGGGCG